rnacentral:rRNA from 1 species
CCUACGGGAGGCAGCAGUGGGGGAUAUUGCACAAUGGGGGAAACCCUGAUGCAGCGACGCCGCGUGAGGGAAGAAGUAUUUCGGUAUGUAAAGCUCUAUCAGCAGGGAAGAAAAUGACAGUACCUGACCAAGAAGCCCCGGCUAACGACGGGCCAGCAGCCGCGGUAAUACGUAGGGGGCAAGCGUUAUCCGGAUUGACUGGGUGGAAAGGGAGCGUAGACGGUUUGGCACGUCUGGAGUGAAAGCCCGGGGCCCAACCCGGGUACUGCUUUGGAAACUGUGUAACUGGAGUACAGGAGGGGCAAGCGGAAUUCCAGGUGUAGCGGUGAAAUGCGUAGAUAUCAGGAGGAACACCGGCGGCGAAGGCGGCCUGCUGGACUGAAACUGACGUUGAGGCUCGAAAGCGUGGGUAGCAAACAGGAUUAGAUACCCGGGUAGUC